UUUUUAUAAAGAAAAUAAAAACCAAAGAAAUUUCUUCAUGAAACAGAUUAUAGAAAUCUUUGAAAUACAACAAGAAAACAAGACUAUAGAAACAAAGUGGAAACGAAAAAGUUACCAGCGGAGGAUGGUGGUGAGUUUCCGACGGUGGUAAUGAUGCAAAAAAAAGUCGCUGCAACAACUUGAACGGACACUGGGGUGAUUUGCACGUGGAUGAUGUGGUUGGUUAUUGUAAUGAAGUUGUUGUUUUAUGAGAGUUAAAGUGGCGAUGAUGAUAUUUGUGUUUGAAGAUGAAGAUAGUCUUUUUUUUUAAGUUAAAAAAAUGGUGUGUGGUUAUGUGUUUGAAGAAGUAAGAAGGGAGUGUUUUGAUGUAUUAAUGGAUGUGAAAGGUGGUUUUUGAGAAGAGAUUUUUUCGCCUUCUGUUUCAUCUUCUCCACGCUUUUCUUUUUCUAACAAGAGAGAUAGAGUUUUAUGAAGUAAAGAGAGAUGAAAGUUGUGUAAUAGUUUGGUUGUGGUAGGGAGAAAAUAGUGAAGAGUUUUUGUUGUUCUCAUGUGUUAUGG
rnacentral:lncRNA from 1 species